rnacentral:rRNA from 1 species
GACGAACGCUGGCGGCGUGCUUAACACAUGCAAGUCGAACGGAAAGGCCCUGCUUUUGUGGGGUGCUCGAGUGGCGAACGGGUGAGUAACACGUGAGUAACCUGCCCUUGACUUUGGGAUAACUUCAGGAAACUGGGGCUAAUACCGGAUAGGAUCUCCUGCUGCAUGGUGGGGGUUGGAAAGUUUCGGCGGUUGGGGAUGGACUCGCGGCUUAUCAGCUUGUUGGUGGGGUAGUGGCUUACCAAGGCUUUGACGGGUAGCCGGCCUGAGAGGGUGACCGGCCACAUUGGGCCUGAGAUACGGCCCAGACUCCUACGGGAGGCAGCAGUGGGGAAUAUUGCACAAUGGGCGGAAGCCUGAUGCAGCAACGCCGCGUGCGGGAUGACGGCCUUCGGGUUGUAAACCGCUUUCGCCUGUGACGAAGCGUGAGUGACGGUAAUGGGUAAAGAAGCACCGGCUAACUACGUG